GUGAAGAAGGUUCUGUGUAUACAGCAUGCCGCCAUGGCAGCAAAGCCGGAAUCAGUGAGAUGUUUGAGGGACACCAGGGACCCAUCACGGGAAUCCACUGUCACGCAGCUGUUGGCGCAGUAGACUUCUCACAUCUGUUCGUCACUUCGUCUUUUGACUGGACAGUAAAACUUUGGACAACUAAGGUACCUGAAACACAACAUUCUGCUCAUUUGGUCAGUUUCCUGACACAAGGUGGUGCUCUAAUACUGCAGGGAAAGACUUGGCUUAGGUCUUAGCCAGAUUGGAGUUGUUUCCCAGUCAGUAGGACCCAGUGUAACAAAUAUGAUGGCCCCACAAACAGUUGAAGAAUAGGCUUCCUCCCACUUCAGGCUUCUCAAGCAAAGAUCUGUUUACUCUGAAUUGUGUUGGGGAGAAGGCCCUGGUAUUCCCUAUACUCCCUCAUAUAAUUUCAUCCAGCUCCACACAAAAGCCAUUCAUUUGCUCUGUGGAGAGCUAAGAGACUUAAUUCAGGACUGCAGUGGUUCAUAGAGGUGAUGAGAAAUAGAAGACAGAAACCAUUUGCAGGAAGUCCUAUACAAUGAGACUACACAAUAAACUUGAGUCAUUAAAUC
rnacentral:lncRNA from 1 species